ACCUUCUUGUAUAAGCACUGUGCUAAAAUUACAGAACCUAAGAUUGUCUUAGUUUCUGUAGUAAUGCUAGCAGAGUACACACAAGAAGAAAAAUAACUGCA
ensembl:miRNA